AGUGAACGCUGGCGGUAGGCCUAACACAUGCAAGUCGAACGGCAGCACAGUAAGAGCUUGCUCUUACGGGUGGCGAGUGGCGGACGGGUGAGGAAUACAUCGGAAUCUACUUUUUCGUGGGGGAUAACGUAGGGAAACUUACGCUAAUACCGCAUACGACCUACGGGUGAAAGCAGGGGAUCUUCGGACCUUGCGCGAUUGAAUGAGCCGAUGUCGGAUUAGCUAGUUGGCGGGGUAAAGGCCCACCAAGGCGACGAUCCGUAGCUGGUCUGAGAGGAUGAUCAGCCACACUGGAACUGAGACACGGUCCAGACUCCUACGGGAGGCAGCAGUGGGGAAUAUUGGACAAUGGGCGCAAGCCUGACCCAGCCAUACCGCGUGGGUGAAGAAGGCCUUCGGGUUGUAAAGCCCUUUUGUUGGGAAAGAAAAGCAGCAGGUUAAUACCCCGCUGUUCUGACGGUACCCAAAGAAUAAGCACCGGCUAACUUCGCG
rnacentral:rRNA from 1 species